UGCAGUUCUAUCAAGAGCAGUAUUACUCACUAUAACAGCCAACCAUUUUAUUAUUUUCAAAGAAGAUGUUAAAGAAAAAUCGUAUCAACUUUCUUUCACUCUUGUUUUCUUUCUUCUUAAUCUUUACUAGUUUCAUUCAACUUGGAACACCCGCAAGGACCACAACCCUUGAGUUCCAGACCAGUGGCAAAUCCAAACUACUUGGUAAGUGCUUCAUAAUCUUUCUUUUUUACUUCUCAUUCAUUCUACAUGAUCAGAAAAAAUAAAGGUCAUUCCAGCUUUUCUUUGGGUUGAGACUUUUUAUCGAUGUUUAUGUCUUUUUCCUCGUGCCUUUUAUCUGAUUGUAGAAGAAUCAUGGAAUACUGAUGGCUAUGUUUGUGGAUACAAUUCGCCAUAUGCUUGCAACCUAAAAAUCCUCAUUUUUGUAGUAAUUAGUCUAAAACUUUAAACUCUAACCCUAAAAAAAUGAGAUUUGUUCUUACUCUUGUACAUCUCACCUUACAUCAAGUUGUUGCAUCUCAAAG
rnacentral:lncRNA from 1 species